GUGAACCAGCGGAGGGAUCAUUACAGAGUUAUCCAACUCCCAAACCCAUGUGAACUUAUCUCUUGUUGCCUCGGCGCAAGUAUCCCGGACCCAGCGCCCCGGGGCCCGCGGCGGACAAACCAACUCUGUUAUCUUAGUUGAUUAUCUGAGCGUCUUAUUUAAUAAGUCAAACUUUCAACAACGGAUCUCUUGGUUCUGGCAUCGAUGAAGAACGCAGCGAAAUGCGAUAAGUAAUGUGAAUUGCAGAAUUCAGUGAAUCAUCGAAUCUAUGAACGCACAUUGCGCCCAUUAGUAUUCUAGUGGGCAUGCCUGUUCGAGCGUCAUUUCAACCCCUAAGCACAGCUUAUUGUUGGGACUCUACGGCCUCCGUAGUGCCCCAAAGCGAUUGGCGGAGUGGCAGUAGUCCUCUGAGCGUAGUAAUUCUUUAUCUCGCUUUGUUAGGUGCUGCCCCCCCGGCCGUUAAACCCCCCAAUUUUUUCUGGUUGACCUCGGUCAGGUAGGAAUACCCGCUGAACUUAAGCAUAUCAAUAAGCGGAGGAAAAGAAACCAACAGGGAUUCCCCUAGUAACGGCGAGUGAAGCGGGAACAGCUCAAA
rnacentral:rRNA from 1 species